GGGGGGAAUCUUGUCAACAAGACUGUAUGGCCCGUUUACGUCCCGUUUGCUUACUUAAUGUGCCUACAGCUAAACCACUUUCUGUUUCUGUCCCUCCUGUGUAUGCAGACCUCGCAUUGGUCUUUGAAAAAAGGGAAGCUGAUAAACUACCCCCACACCGGGAUUAUGAUUGUGCCAUAAACCUGUUACCUGGUACUAUACCUCCUAGGGGUAAGG